rnacentral:tRNA from 1 species
GGAAGGGUCGCAUAGUUGGUCUAGUGCGCUGCACUCGAAAUGCAGUAUGUCGGAAACGGCAUCGAGAGUUCGAAUCUCUCCCCUUCCGCCA